rnacentral:misc_RNA from 1 species
CAGUCUUCAGUGUAGAGCUUAGUCUGCAACAAAUACAAGAUGCUAAAAAGAAUUACAAGCUGUCAUUAAAUGAAAUUAAAGGGAAAUGAAAAAUGAGCCACAAAUGCUACAUCAAAAUGUCACUAGGUGAAGACACAAGAAUAAUCUACAAUAUGGAAUUAGAAGCCCAAGAUCCAACUUAUUUGUCCUGCAACAUAAGCAG